AGAAAACCUAACAGAAGAGAGACUAGAUGAGGUACUGACUGAGCUUUUAAAAGCCUUCAAGGAGGGUUCACUUGAAAGUAAGGGCUUUCCUUCUUCUUUGUCAGCCUAUAUAGUCUCAAAAGCUGCACUGAACGCAUAUACUAGGAUUCUAGCAAAGAAGUACCCCACUUUUCGUAUCAAUUCGUUAUGCCCUGGCUUUGUCAAAACAGAUAUAAACUACAAUGUCGGUGUCCUACCUGUCGAAGAAGGGGCUGCAAGGGUUAUGAAGUUAGCAUUGCUGCCCAAUGAUGGCCCUUCUGGCUCCUUCUUUGUUGAGUACGAAGUGUCAGAUUUUUAAUUGAAGAUGAUCCGUUUAUGCAAAUUAAAUACAUGUCAUUUAUUUGGCAGAAUCUUGAAUUUCUAAUGUAACAAAGUGUAUUUGGACCCAGCACCAGAUCCCUUUUAAGUUCUUUCUACAUUCAAUAUGACUCGAGGACAACAUACAAUAGUCUUGUAUGAUUGCAUCUUUGUGAAAUUAUCUUCCACAUAUGGAAUUGAUUGAAGGAUCUAAUACAUUGCUUGUUUACAUUUCUACUUAUCAACUGGCUGUUGAACUCAUAUUAUCAUUUACAUUAUUAUUCAACCAGAAAUUCUAUAUGAUUGAUAUCCAUUCUUUGAUCGAUACUAUCAAUAACAUUUUGGUAUAUUUUGUUAUGGAUAUGCUGACAACAAUUAUAUUAACACUUAAUCCACAAUUCUUUCAUUAAUUAAGAAAUGACGUAGGUAUAAAGAAGAAUUGAUUAUCCAACAAUCCCUCAUUCCCUCGUUCCAUCAAUAUUAUUGUAUUCAAUUGUUUAAUAAAGAAAAAGACAAUUGUCAUGUUCAAUGCAAAACUGCUUAAGACUUCGCAUGUUACGACUUUUUUGCCUAUACACACCAAUGGUAGUUGAGACAUUGGGGAAGCCCUUGUGAACAUGUUGUUGAAAGGUCUCUCUGGUCUGUCAACGUGUGCACUUGCGUCACUACCUUCUCCUUUUCCUUAACGAAAAUUCUACAGAGAAAAAUCCAAGCAAAUGCUGUUCUAUCUAUCUUUCCCAUUCAAAUGAUGUCAUAUCUCACUAUAUCUCACCAAACCCAGUUAUUAACUUAUUAUUACUUUCAUGACCCAAAAAAGAAAAAGUUACUUUUACGUUUUCCGUUUUUUGCUAUACCACUUUUUUGUCAGUAAGGACACAAUUGUACUUUUAUAAAUCCAAACUAACAAACGCCAUAAUGGGCUUACUCAUUGACUAAAAACUAACAAAAAUAUAAAAUCACUUGAGCAAGACCCAAAAGUAUAUAGGGUAUUUAGAAGAUCUUAAUUAGUGCAUUUCCACAUGUAAGCUUAUAAAUAGGACCGAAAUAUAGAAGAAUUCUACAAUAAAUUUUAGGAAAAAUUCAAUUUGUCUUUCAAAAUUAAAAUAAGGAGUUAAAUUCUUAUUACGGAUACUUCUAUGUUUUUUCCACAUUGAGAAACUAAAAAUACAAAUGACACCCACAAAAAAAGUAAAAAUUCAAUUCUUGAGUAGGGCAGCCGCAUGUGAAAUCACACUCGCAAAGAGUUAAGACCCACAUUCAGAGGGUCUCACCCUUAUUUGAGUGCCACCGGUGCCGCGGUCCUGUUUAAGAUUUUUUUCCUAUCAAAAGGUGAAGGUUGCCACAAGUAAAUUAAUGUAUGUAUUUUAUAUCUAGUGGGGAUGAAAAAGUAAGGUGAUCCAUGUUUCUAUAGGAUAUUAUUAUUUACAUUAUUAGUCAAUUAGAGUAGUCACAUCCACACCAGUCUUUGCAUGCGAAACUGCUUACUGCCCUGCAACUGCCUUCACCAAAAUUCUCCCACAAACCCAUUAUUUUCCUUUAAAAUCUUAAAAACAAAAUUUGGUCCCUCUGUCGCCACAAUUUCUAAUUAAUGUUAGAAAACACUAGAAGCAUAUAGGAACAAAAGAAUCAAAAUUUUCUUCUUCGUAUUAUUUAUUUGAAUAUGACCUCAAAAGUCAAAGGCUUUCCAAGAACAUUCACUAUAAAAGAAAAGAAGGCUCCUUCUGUUUAACACACAUCUCAAUUCUCACAGACCGUCCCGUUUCGAAUCUAUCAAUGGCAGAAGCAACAAAGAGGUAGCACUUUAGACUUCAUUAUGCUUUGUUUCCUUGUCCGAUUUCCAAUCCCUUUAAUUGUUUUUGUUUCUAUGAAUUUGGUGUUUGUGUUUUCUUAGGUAUGCGGUUGUUACUGGAGCAAACAAAGGUAUAGGAUUGGAAACUGUAAGGCAGUUGGCCUCAAAUGGGUUCACCGUAGUCUUAACUGCCCGAGAUGAGAAGAGGGGUCUUGAAGCUGUUGAGAAACUCAAAGAGUCUGGCCUCUCAGGUCAAGUGGUUUUUCAUCAACUUGAUGUGGUUGACCCUGCUACUGUUGCUUCUUUGGCAGACUUCAUCAAAACCCAGUUUGGGAAACUCGAUAUCUUGGUAUGUAUAUGAUCAUAGCUACAGGUUUCUUGAAAAAGUUUCUGUCUUUUGAAUCUAACUCUUAAUCCGAAUGUGAUUUAGUUGGAGGAGAUGAAAUAUGGAAUUGGAAAAUGAAAAUAGCAAACCAAGUAAUAACUAGCUUAGUAAUAUCUUCAACAAGUUAAUCUUUGAAAUAAUUAGAAGUCUUAGGCUUUUUGAAGAACAAAACAAGUUUCACAUAACUACCAGUCUGCCACUCUGUUUUUGUUUCUUGGAAUCUUUUCAUAUAUGAUAUGAUCCCUUUCUGUACAAUUUAUAAGUACCCUAGAAAGAUCAGUGGCUGGAGUUACGGGGUUUGGCAAAGUGGCAUAAUUAUUGGGCUUCUUUAAAGGGCAUUGGCCUUUAUGGUUAGUUUGGUUUUAACAACAAAGAGAUUGUAAGAGUAAUCAGUGGAUCUAUCAACUUUCUUUUCCUUUCAUUUUCGAUUUUCUGUUCUUUUCUUUGCUAAAAGAAAACAGAUAGUGAAACAGUUGGACUCUGCACAGGUGAACAAUGCAGGGGUUGGUGGAAGCAUAGUAGAUGGUGAUGCUUUUAAAGCUUCUGUAGCCUCCGGUGCCACGGUAAGUCUUUUGUAUAAUUUUUUAUCAAUAGCUAUCAAAAACUAAAAGCUUCAAUGUAUGUGCCAAAGUGAGAAUUUAAACUGAUCUGUGGUUUGGCAUACUUUAAUCAACGUUUUUCUUGUUUGGGGUGGGUGUGUAAGUGGUGGGCAAUAGGCACCAUAAUAAUAAGUUUGUUUUUGCUGAUACAGGAAAGAGGAGGAGUUGAUUUUAGUAAACUAGUGACUGAAACUUAUGAGUUAACAGAAGAAUGCUUGCAAAUAAACUAUUAUGGUGCUAAAAGAACAGCUGAAGCACUUAUCCCACUCCUCCAGUUAUCUGACUCACCGAAAAUUGUUAAUGUUUCUUCUGUCAUGGGGAUGUUAAACAACAUACCAAGCGAUUGGGCUAGAGGAGUUUUUACUGAUGCCGAAAACCUAACAGAAGAGAGAGUAGAUGAGGUACUGACUGAGCUUCUAAAAGAUUUCAAGGAGGGUUCACUUGAAAGUAAGGGCUGGCCUUCUUCUAUGCCUGCCUAUAUAGUCUCAAAAGCAGCACUGAACGCAUAUACAAGGAUUCUAGCAAAGAAGUACCCCACUUUUCGUAUCAAUUCAGUCUGCCCUGGCUUUGUCAAAACAGAUAUAAACUACAAUGUCGGUGUCCUACCUGUCGAAGAAGGGGCUGCAAGGGUUAUGAAGUUAGCAUUGCUGCCCAAUGAUGGGCCUUCUGGUUCCUUCUUUGUUCAGUAUGAAGUGUCAGAUCUUUGAUUGAAGAUGAUCCAUUUAUGCAAUUUUAAUACAUAUCACUUGUUGGGCAGCAUCUUGAACUUUGAUGUAAUUUAAGUAUAUUUGGAACCAGCAGCAGAUCCUUUUUAAGUUCUUUCUACAUUCAAUAUGACUCGAGGACGACAUAAAAUAGUCCUGUAUGAUUGCAUCUCUGUGAAAUUAUUUUCCACAUCUUGAGUUGAUUGAAGGAUCUAAUACAUUGCUUGUUUACAUUUCUACUUAUCAACCGGCUCUUGAACCCAUAUUAUCGUUUACAUUAUUAUUCAACCAGAAAUUCUAUGUGAUUGAUAUCCCUCCUUUAAUCGAUACUAUCAAUAACAUUUUAGUAUAUUUUGUUAUAGAUAUGUUGGCAACAAUUAUAUUAAUCCUUUAUCGACAAUCUGUCAUUAAUUAAGAAAUAACAUAGGUAUUAAUUAAGAAAUAACAUAGGUAUAGAGAAGAAUUGAUUAUCCAACAAUCCGUCAAUCUGUCAAUCCAUCAAUAUUAUUGUAUUCAAUUGUUGAAUAAAGAAAAAUGACAAUUGGCAUGUUCAAUGCAAAACUACUUACGACUUUGCAUGUUACGACUUUUUUGCCUAUAUACUCCAACGGUGGCUGAGCCCCUUUUAGGGGCCCCACUGGGGAAGCCCUUGUGAACAUGUUGUUGAAAGGUCUCUCUGGUCUGUCAACGUGUGCACUUGCGUCACUACCUUCAUACUUUUCCUUAAUACUCCAAGCAAAUGUUGUUCCAUCUUUCCCAUUCAAUGACUUCUAGAAAACAUUACAGGCAAGCAUUCUUUCUCCAGUAUAGGAACAAACGGCUUUUCAAGAACAUUUUACUAUAAAACAAAAGAAGCCUCCUUCUGUUUAGUCUCACUUCUCACAGACCGUCCAAUUAUCGAAUCAUCAAUGGCAGAAGCAACAAGGAGGUAGCACUUUAGAGUCCUUUAUGCUUUGGUUCCUUGUCACAUCUCCAUUCCCUCUCAUUGUUUCUGCUUAUCAUUUUUGUGUUACGAAUUUGGUGUUUUUGUUUUUCCAGGUAUGCAGUUGUUACUGGGGCAAACAAAGGCAUAGGAUUGGAAACUGUGAGGCAAUUGGCCUCAAAUGGAUUCACUGUAGUCUUAACUGCCAGAGAUGAGAAAAGGGGUCUUGAAGCUGCUGAGAAACUCAAAGAGUCUGGCCUCUCAGGUCAAGUGGUUUUUCAUCAACUUGAUGUGGCUGACCCUGCUACUGUUGCUUCCUUGGCAGAGUUCAUCAAAACCCAGUUUGGGAAACUCGAUAUCUUGGUAUGUGUAUGAUCAUAGCUGCAGGUUUCUUGAAAAAGUUUUGGUCUUUUGAAAUAAUUAGAAGUCUCAGGCUUACACAAUAUCCACACAGGUGAAGGUUACAUUAGAGACUGUAAAAUUGAUCAUAUCAUGCUUGCUUAUUGUGUCCACUUCCAGUUGUGGGAGAUUUUACUUUCAAGUCUAACUAUAAGAUAUGAACCCUCUGUACAAUUUACAAGUACCCUAGAAAGAUCAGUGGCUGGAGUUAAGGGAUUUGGCAAUGCCUUGAUGGUUGGUUAUAGAACCAUAUAGAUUAUCUUAGUAACCCGAGGAUGUACCAACUUCUUUUAAUUGCAUUUUCUACAAUUUUCUUUUCUUUGCUAAAUUAAAAUAGGUAGUGAGACAGUGGUUUCUGCACAGGUGAACAAUGCAGGGAUUGGUGGAGCCAUAGGAGAUGCUGAUGCCUUUACAGCUUUAGUGAAGUCUUUCGACAUGGUAAGUCUUUCGAAUUAAUUUUUUCAAUAGCUAUCAAAACCUAAAAGUUUCAAUGUAUGGCUUGAAAAUUUUUCAUUGUGAUGUUCAUGUCAAACUUUGAUCAACAUUUUUCUUGUUUGUGGUGGCUGUGGGCUAUAGGACCAUAACAAUAAGUUCGUUCUUACCGAUACAGGGGAGAGGAGAAAUUGGUAGUAAACUAAUGACUGAAACUUAUGAGUUAACAGAAGAAUGCUUGCAAAUAAACUAUUAUGGUGCUAAAAGAACAGCUGAAGCACUUAUCCCACUCCUCCAGUUAUCUGACUCACCGAGAAUUGUUAACGUUUCGUCUUUCCUGGGGAAGUUAAUGCAUAUACCAAGCGAUUGGGCUAGAGGAGUUUUUACUGAUGCUGAAAACCUAACAGAAGAGAGAGUAGAUGAGGUACUGACCGAGCUUCUAAAAGAUUUCAAGGAGGGUUCACUUGAAAGUAAGGGCUGGCCUUCUCCUUCGUCUGCCUAUGUAGUCUCGAAAGCUGCACUGAACGCAUAUACAAGGAUUCUAGCAAAGAAGUACCCCACUUUUCGUAUCAAUUCGUUAUGCCCUGGCUUUGUCAAAACAGAUAUAAACUACAAUGCCGGUGUCCUACCUGUCAAAGAUGGGGCUGCAAGGGUUAUGAAGUUAGCAUUGCUGCCCAAUGAUGGCCCUUCUGGCUCCUUCUUUGUUCACUAUGAAGUGUCAGAUUUUUAAUUGAAGAUGAUUGUUGUGAAAUUUAUUGCAAGCGCACAAUUCGCACAAGUAAUACAGUGAUGAGUGAAGUGUCGUUCCCACGAAGAGUGAUUUAAUUUACUAAGUACCGAUUGUGAGAAAAAUAAAAGCAAGCGUAGAGAAAUAAAGUAGUGAGAUUCAAGUUAUGAGAGCACUAGAGCUUCCGAUUUCACCAUAGCCAAUUUUACCCAAUUCCCUUAGCAUGUUAAUCCUAAUUAUUCUCUAUGUAGACAGUUGAUUUUCCCUACUUUAUUCGAUACUCCAUCCCUGGUUAUAUCAAAAGUAUUCUUAUUACCAACCCACUCUAUCCCUAGUAAUGGAAUUAAGAUAAUAAGAACCCAUUAAAUUCCUUGGAAACCCUACAAAACAACCACAUAAGUCACGACAAACAUCCAUGUCUAAUCAUGUAACUCAUGGCAUCUAUUACAAGAAGCAACCCCAAAUUGGAUAUCCCUGUCGUCAAUUUAGCAUCAAAACAAUUAAAUGUUGGCCAAACAUUCAAAGCAUUAAGCAUGGUACUCAACAUGGAAAAAUACUUGGAAUUAACAUUGACUAAAGUAAUUGAGUAUUCAUGGCUAGGCUACAUCGUAGCACUGGUAAGAAGAAAUUAGUUCAUGAAAACUUUAAUAAAAACCAUGAUAAAUAGUAUCAUAGGAAAGAAAAAAACCAAUUGAAGAUUUGAUCUCUGCACGACACCAACUCUAGCUCCAGGUCGUCUUCUUUGUCUCUCUAAAACUCUCUCUCCUUUGAGUGUUUCGGCUAUAAGUAUGAAUGUGUAGGAAUUUGUGAGGCUAGAUGAUGGAGGAUGGUGGGUAAUGGAUUCUUUGAACAAUGACCUAAACUCCCUAUUUAUAAAACUCUUAGGAAUCCUACCUAAUGAAUAAUUACAAUUGUUAUAAAAAUAGGAUUCCUUCUAAUAUAAGGUCUUCUUUAUUCCUCCUUGUUUGACUUGAUAAGACUUGAACCAUCUUGAACUAAGAAAUUUGACAACAUUCCUUGCAACAAAAGGAAUGACUUGGCUUCUUUUUAAUUGAUCUCCAAUCUUCAUCUUCUUGCCUUUUUUUAGCACACUUUCUCCUAUUUCAUAAUUCCUUCACAAAUCUCACAAAACCAAUUAAAAACAACUAAUUUAAUCCAAGAAAUUAAUAAAUAAAUAAGCAAAUGAGGCAUAAAAUAUAUAUAUAUAAAAUAUAGACUUAUCAAUGAUCCAUUUAUGCAAAUUAAAUACAUGUAAUGUAUUUGGCAGGAUCUUUAACUUUUAAUGUAACAAAGUAUAUUUGUGACAGGACCCGCCCCGAAUUUUCCGAAAUUCUAGAUGAAUCCUGUGGAAUUCCCGACAUCACCCCGAUGCCGAGCCCACUUACUAAGGACCGGGACUUUCUGCCGAAAUUUCAGCAGAGUCUCCCUUGUAAAUUGAUCAUUCCCCAAAUUUUUUAACCUGUAUAAAACACAUUUGAUAUCCACAACUGGCAGCAUGCACAAGAUAAUUUCAUGCAAAUCACAUAAUCGGCCUCCGGCCUUCAAAUAAUUCGAAACUAAACCACCAACAAACUCUAAACACAAUUAUGAACGCCAAAUGCGAUUUCCAUCAUCUAAAUUCCCAAAUAUUGAACGUACAAAAUUAAACCUCCUAACAAGACUACAUCUCAUUUUCACCUAAAUUUCAGGACCAACAAGAAAGUCCAAACCAAUCUUCAUCACACAACAUGAGUAAAGUUUAGCCCGCGGCUGUACCUAGGCACUACCCUAGGCUGCCUACGUACCCUUACUAAGGGAUCAAGCCACACGUAGUUCUUUCCAUACAAAAUUUCCAAAUCCAUCAACAUGCAAUCAAUUCUAGAAAUCCCCGCCCGAAAAUCCUACGCCACGUGUGACUUAACCAUCAUGUCAUCUCCCCAUACGCCGGAAAUUCCAACGCCACGUAUGGGAUUUGUCUUAACGUCGGAAAAUCCUACGACAAGCGAGACCUAACAAUCACAUAAUCUCCCCAUAUGCCGGAAAUUCCAACGCCACAUAUGGGGUCUGUUAGCACGCCGGAUAACCUAUGCCACGUGUGACCUAACAAUCAUAGCAUCUCCCCAUACGCCAGAAAUUCCAACGCCAUGUAUGGGGUCUGUCCUCACGCCGGAUAACCUACGCCACGUGGGACCUAACAAUCACAUAAUCUCCUCAUAUGCCGAAAAUUACAACGCCACAUAUGGGGUCUGUCAGCAUGCCGGAUAACCUACGCCACGUGUGACCUAACAAUCAUAGCAUCUCCUCAUACGCGCGGAAAUUCCAACGCCACAUAUGGGGUUUGUCCUUACGCUGGAUAACCUACGUCACGUGGGACCUAACAAUCACAGGGUAAUACUUAGGGUAGUGUGUAUAGCACUUCAAACUGACAUACUCUCAAUUAUCUAAACUAAUACUAGAGGUAUUCCCACUUUAGUGAUACCAGUCUAUAGUAGACUGCAACGUAAUUUAAUCAGGAAAGUAAUAUUAUUUUUAGACCAAUGAUCAUGCACAUAAACAUAAAUUUCAUAAUUUCAAUUAUUAAAACAAUAUCUAAGAGUUUCCUACAAUAAUAAUAAACACUCUAAAAAAUCUCAACCUAGUCAACAUAGCUCAACAACGCUCAAGACCUGUCACUAGGGUCAUUAUAAUCCUUCUAGGAAGGUAAAACUACCUCCGAAGACUCACGGUCAACCAAGGGUCAAACUACCCAAACUUGGUCAAAUGGGCCCACGGGGCCCAUGACCUCCAAAUUCCGAUCCUAAAGUUCCUAUGUGUUCUACAAGGCUUAUGACACAUGUUCUGCAAUCUGGACCAAACUUGCAGAACGUCCGGGGUUCCGAUUCACACAUAAACUUUAAGUUAUUAAAUCGGAACAUCCGGGGCUCCGAUUCACGAUCCAUGAAUUCCUACACGAUCCUAGAAAUUCCUAGGUUAACACAUAUCAAAUUCGAGACCAUCCAAAGGUCCAAACCUAUCGAGCCCGGAUAACACGCAAUAGGCGAUAUCCGUUCGAGACUCAAACGGUAUCCAAAUUGAAAUCCGAGCACACCUACGCACUCGUGAGGACCGGGAGAUUACAUCGGGAUAUAGUGCCCUUUUUCUACAGUGCCCACUCGCCGCCGCACGCGCCGGCAGCGCGUGGGUGCCCAAAGCGAUUACGCAUCGCUGAAAAAUCCCAAAACCACGGCUCCAAACUCCUACCCUAGGUAUAUUUGGAACCACUUUUGUUCUGGACCUACCCCAAAAACUGACCGGAAGUGGCCGGAAUCGCGAUCCCAAAAUCGGCCGAACCCUAAAUCCAAAAUCGAACGACUUAGGCUAAAAAUAAAUGUAAUCCUGCCCAACCAUCAGCUAGAGCAUGGAACAUAGGUAGAAAUCCAUGCCUUACUCGUCAAAUUUGGAGGAAAAAUGAGGGAGAACUAACGGUUUGAAAAUCUGUGAAAACCGACUCGUUUUCUGCAGAUUCCGGCGGCUAGAGUGGCUAACGGAGGCAGAGACCGGGUGGGAUGAGAAGAGGAGGAGGUGGCAGUUCGAACAAGACUGGUCUCGAGGCCGGUUGUUGACGAUGGCGACGGCAGUGGCUCUUGGAAGCCACGGCUGUGCAGAAAACAGAAGGUAGGAAGGUCACUACGCGCGCAGGGAGAGAGAGAGAGAGAGAGAGAGAGAGAGAGAGAGAGAGAGAGAGAGAGAGAGAGAGAGAGAGAGAGAGAGAGAGAAAAUCUGGUUUUUAAAAACCAACUUCAAAAUAUUUACAGUUUUGCCACUGAGCUUGUUUUGCUCGUAACUUCUUCGUUACAACUCCAAAUCGAGUCCACCACAUGUCUACGGACUGACCUCACCGUGCUCUACGCAACGGUAUAGUCGAAAUUCUCAAAUUCCUUCCCGGUCAAAAAGUAAACUUUAGACCUAAUAAAAUAUUUUAGGGGCAAAAUGGUAUUUUCUUUGAAUAAAUUAGUAUUUACUAAUUUAUUUAGGACCGGGUCGAUACAAUUUGGACCCAGCAACAGAUCCUUUUUAAGUUCUUUCUACAUUCAACAUGACUCGAGGAUGGCAUAGAUUCAAUAGUCCUGUAUGAUUGCAUCUCUAAUACAUUGCUUGUUUACAUUUCUACUUAUCAACUGACUCUUGAACCCAUAUUAUCAUUUACAUUAUUAUAAUCAGAAAUUCUAUGUGAUUGGUGUCCAUCCUUUGAUCAAAAUGAUCAAUAUCAUUUCGGUAUAUACUUCUUAUGGACAUGUUGACAACAAUUAUAUUAACAUGUUAUUGACAAUCCGUUAUUAAUUAAGAAAUGACAUAGGUGUACAGAAGAAUUGAACAUUCAAUUGUUUGUUUAAUAAAGAAAAAGACAACAUGAGUCUCUUUAACAAUCAUGUUUUUGGAUUGGAGCAGCCUAAUUCACCAAUGAUCAUGCACAUAAACAUAAAUUUCAUAAUUUGAACAACUUGGGCACUUGCGUCACUAUCCCCCUCUUUUUCCUUAAUACUCCGAAACAAAAAUCCGAGCAAAUGUUGGUCCAUCUGUCCCAUUCAAUGACUUCUAGAAAGCAUUAUAGGAACAAACGAAUCGAUUUGAAUAUAAUACUCAAAAUACAAAAGCUUCCCAACAACUUCACGUUAUAAAAGAAAAUAAAGAUCCUUCUGUUUAGUCUCAUUUCUUACCCCUGCUUUUUUCCGAGAAAGAUACAUUUAGGCUUUUAUUAUCUUCUUAUUCAUUCAUAUCGUGGAUGUAGACAUUGCUUGUCACGUGCGUGCGUACGUCUCCAUAAUUGACUUGAGGCUAGCUUUUCAAUUACUCAUGUAGAAUUUUUUUUUUUCAAGUGCCCAUAGAGAUAAGACUUCCAUAUAUGGGGCUCACCUCAAUUAAAAAUGUAGUUAGUAAAGUGGUACACGAUUGUUUUUAUAUAUGCUCAGAUAUUUAAUUUUACAAAAAUAAUGCAUCCAACUAACUCAACCAAAAAAGUUGCAUCCAAUUAAUUAUGUUCUUAGAAUAUCGAUACAAAAUAAAUUAGGUGUUAAAAAGAUAUUUAUUUUUGCAAAAAUAAUGCAUCCAACUAACUCAACUAAAAAAGUUGCAUCCAAUUAAUGAUGUUCUUGGAAUAUUGAUACAAAAUAAAUUAGGUGUUACAAAGAUAUUUAUUUUUGCAAAAAUAAUGCAUCCAACUAACUCAACCAAAAAAGUUGCAUCCAAUUAAUGUUGUUCUUGGAAUAUUGAUACAAAAUAAAUUAGGUGUUAAAAAAUAUUUAAUAUCUAAAUAUGAUCUAUUACGACUUAUCGUCACAAUCAUGGUAAUUAUUCAAAAGGUGUAACAUCCCUUAUACAAUUUAAUCGAUUUAAUCAAAUUUAAUUCUUUUGUGAAAUUUCAAUUUUGCCCUUGGGAGUAGGGGUACUUUGGUCACUUUAAGAAAAAAAAAACAUUUAUUGUAUGGUAUUACGUAAUGAUGUAAGUUUGUGUUAUUUUAUGUGAGGCCCCAAUUUAAGGUUAGCACAGGGCCCUCAAAAUCUCAAGACCGGCCCUGGGCCCCGUUGGGGAAGCCCUUGUGAACAUGUUGUUGAAAGGGCUCUCUGGUCUGUCAACGUGUGCAGUUGCGUCACUACCUUCAUCCUUUUCCUUAACACUCCAAGCAAAUGUUGUUCCGUCUUUCCCAUUCAAUGACUUCUAGAAAACAUUACAGGCAGGCACUCUUUUCUUUCUCCAGAAUAGGAACAAACGGCUUUUCAAGAACAUUUUACUAUAAAACAAAAGAAGCCUCCUUCUGUUUAGUCUCAUUUCUCACAGACCGUCCCAUAUCGAAUCAUCAAUAUGGCAGAAGCACCAAAGAGGUAGCACUUUAGAGUCCUUUAUGCUUUGGUUCCUUGUCACACCUCCAUUCCCUCUCAUUGUUUCUGCUUAUCAUUUUUGUGUCAUGAAUUUGGUGUUUUUGUUUUUUCCAGGUAUGCAGUUGUUACUGGGGCAAACAAAGGCAUAGGAUUGGAAACUGUGAGGCAAUUGGCCUCAAAUGGAUUCACUGUAGUCUUAACUGCCAGAGAUGAGAAAAGGGGUCUUGAAGCUGCUGAGAAACUCAAAGAGUCUGGCCUCUCAGGUCAAGUGGUUUUUCAUCAACUUGAUGUGGCUAACCCUGCUACUGUUGCUUCCUUGGCAGAGUUCAUCAAAACCCAGUUUGGGAAACUCGAUAUCUUGGUAUGUGGAAGAUUUUACUUUCAAAUCUAACUAUAUGAUAUGAACCCUCUGUACAAUUUACAGGUACCCUAGAAAGAUCAGUGGCUGGAGUUAAGGGAUUUGGCAAUGCCUUGAUGGUUGGUUAUAGAACCAAAUAGAUUAUCGAAGUAACCCGAGGAUCUACCAACUUUCUUUUAAUUGCAUUUUCUACAUUUUUCUUUUCUUUUCUAAAUUAAAAUAGAUAGUGAGACAGUUGGCUCUGCACAGGUGAACAAUGCAGGGAUUGGUGGAGCCAUAGGAGAUGCUGAUGGCUAUAUAGCUUUAGUAAAGUCUUUGGAAAUGGUAAGUCUUUCGAAUUAAUUUUUUCAAUAGCUAUCAAAACCUAAAAGGUUCAAUGUGUGGCUAUAAUGUGGAUUUGGGAGUGUGCUAUUUUGCCUCUGCGCCUAUCUGGAUUAGCUCCUUCUUGAUUGAUGAUAUGUUAGGGGUUGUUAGAACCCUUUAGUUUGUGCUGACAGUUUGUAGUCUGUUUGUUUUGGGGUUUGAUCCCCCACUAGUUCAUAAAAUAAAAAAAUAAAAAAAAAGCUUCAAUGUAUGUGCUAAUGUGAAAAUUUCAAUUGAUCUCUGGUUUGGCCAAAGAUCUGUUUCGCUUAAUGCUUUGCUGUUUUUAGUAGGGGAAAUGAUCUGAUUAAUUGAUUUAGGAUUUUUCCAAUAAGCUGCUACCUUUCUGGAUUUACUUAUCUCACCUGAUAAAUCUUUCUGCACUCUAUCCAUAAUUUUUUUUUUGAAGCCCUUUGCUAUAAAUAAAAUAAAUUAUGCACAUAAGUUGUCAUGCUUUCUUCCUCUCUAGCUUGAAAAUGUUUUAUUGUGAUGUGCCAAACUUUGAUCAACAUUUUUCUUGUUUGUGGUGGGUGUGGGCUAUAGAGACCAUAAUAAUAAGUCUGUUCUUACUGAUACAGGGGAGAGGAGAAGUUGGUAGUAAACUAUGGACUGAAACUUAUGAGUUAACAGAAGAAUGCUUGCAAAUAAACUAUUAUGGUGCUAAAAGAACAGCUGAAGCACUUAUCCCACUUCUCCAGUUAUCUGACUCACCGAGAAUUGUUAAUGUUUCGUCUUUCCUGGGGAAGUUAAUGCAUAUACCAAGCCAUUGUGCUAAAGGAGUUUUUACAGAUGCCGAAAACCUAACAGAAGAAAGAAUAGAUGAUGUACUGAGUGAGCUUCUAAAAGACUUCAAGGAGGGUUCACUUGAAAGUAAGGGCUGGCCUUCUUCUUUGUCUGCCUAUGUAGUCUCAAAAGCUGCACUGAACGCAUAUACAAGGAUUCUAGCAAAGAAGUACCCCACUUUUCGUAUCAAUUCGUUAUGCCCUGGCUCUGUCAAAACAGAUAUAACCUACAAUGCCGGUUUCCUAC
rnacentral:lncRNA from 1 species